GGAUGUGAGGGCAAUCUGGCUGCAACAUCUGUUACCCCAUUGAUCCCAGGGUUAAUACAGCUGAUCUGGUUGGCUAGGCGGGUGUACAUAUUGCUUAAAGUCUUC
rnacentral:sRNA from 1 species